CAGCAGCCGCGGUAAUACGUAGGUCCCGAGCGUUGUCCGGAUUUAUUGGGCGUAAAGCGAGCGCAGGCGGUUAGAUAAGUCUGAAGUUAAAGGCUGUGGCUUAACCAUAGUAUGCUUUGGAAACUGUUUAACUUGAGUGCAGAAGGGGAGAGUGGAAUUCCAUGUGUAGCGGUGAAAUGCGUAGAUAUAUGGAGGAACACCGGUGGCGAAAGCGGCUCUCUGGUCUGUAACUGACGCUGAGGCUCGAAAGCGUGGGGAGCAAACAGGAUUAGAUACCCCGGUAGUCCCUGUCUCUUAUACA
rnacentral:rRNA from 1 species